CGCGGGAAAUCUUACCGGGUCCGGACACACUGAGGAUUGACAGACAAAUAUAGAAAUUUUAUAUUUCUCAUAUAUAAAGAUGCUAGUUCUUUCAUGAUUAUGUGAUAGGUGGUGCAUGGCCGUUCUUAGUUCGUGGAGUGAUCUGUCUGCUUAAUUGCGUUUCAAUUUUUAUUAUGUAUACGUAUGACCCACGUUUACGCGUGCGAGUCUAGUAUGCUAUCAUUUGAAAGCAACGAACGUGACCGUAUCCUUUUAUUAUAUACGCACGCGUAUAUUUAUUCAUUAAAGGGACCGCUGUUUCUUUUUUUAA
rnacentral:rRNA from 1 species